UAUUUCAAACCAACAUGGCGGCCACAAUUUCACCCACAAUUAUUUCAUCACCUUGUCUGCUAGAAGUAAACAAGUGCGUUGACAGUAGUUUGUUUAUGCAAUCAAGUGGCGUGUAUGUGAUGCAUUAGUUAAAAAAUAAUUGAUCCGUAUAUAAUGUAUCAUGAAAGUAAUAGUUUGGGUUAGAAUGCACAGUAAUCAAUAUUAUUUUAAUUAGCUACUUAAGGGGCAGUCCACGUUUUGGCCAUAGUACAUACGUGUUUUUGUAAAGUACAUGUAAACCAAAAUGAGGUUAUGUAUUUAUAUUGUUUCCUUUACACCCGAAACAUAUAUUUCCAAUCAUGAUUAUACAUUCUAAUUCCGCAUCUUUACAGCAAAAAAGGAAAGUGCAAAGUGUUUCUGGUAAGUUGAAUCGUGUAAACAACUUUUCUUUUUGAAUUGUAGGAAAUUUGUCAUCAUACAGAUCCAGAGGUCAUACGGCUAGAGGUGUGAAGAUUACCCGGUUGAAAAUAGCUUAGGAAAGCUUAAGUUUAGGAAAGCUGCAAAGGCCGGAAAGAGGUAUCAAAAUAAGAAUCUGCAUGUAGCAGAAAGCCCAUUAGAACCGCAAAUAUGAUACACAGUUUUGUGACAUAUCUACUAGCUGAUAGGCGCACAGCUUUCCGGAAAUGAGUUUGUUUCUUCUCACCAGAAAGGCAUGAAUGAAAGCAAAAACAAAAAUUCUAACGUGAUUAUCAAACAACUCAUGGACUCUAUUUAAUGAAGCGCAUGCUCUUGAAAAGGGAUUAUUCUGACCAAAUGUCGAACGACGUGAACGGAUAAAUAUAGUAGGUCUUGAACGCAGACGACGAGAUGAGACAUACGCAUACAAAAAGAAUUGAUGUAAGGAGCGAAGGAGCAUUUAUUUUAGAAGAGAUAAUACUGGCAAUACAGCAAGGCUGCGCAUGUGAAUAAAGAUACUUGAUAUCAAUCAAGUCCAGCAUACGGCAACGGAGAGAAUAGCUAUUUGCAGCAUUCCUCCCAUGUAGGGUGCACGUAGCAUUUCCUACCCCACUCACAAAUUCAUGGGCAGAGGGAGAGCGUGGCAACUAAUGAUUAGAUAUUAAUUCGAAUUUUUAAUCGAAAAUCCCCCCCAAAAAGUUAAAAUUCCUCCCUUGAAGGAAAUUCCCAACUGUUUGAAAACCGCUGCCUAAUCUCUGCAUAGCAAUUGUUACUCCACUGACAAAGAUUGGGAAUCGAAUAAAACAAAAUAAUUUUGAA